rnacentral:rRNA from 1 species
AUGAAGUAUUGGAAGCUGUCAUUCUUGACCAUUUGUCUUCCGGUCAUACUCGACCCCAGGUACAAGUUUAAAUUCUUGGAGUUCUGCUUAAAAUCUGGACUUGAAAGUGAUGCAACAAGGUAUCUUGCUAAAGUGAAGAGAACAUUCAAAGAUCUAUUUGUUGAAUAUUCUAUGCAUGAGGGUGAGUCAAAUAUGGGAAAUGAUCAAGGAACCAACAAUGUUGGUACAAGUAUUGAUAACCCAUGGGAUCAAUGGAACAAACAAGUUAAGCAAAAUCAAGAAAAUCGAGCAAAGCUGAGUGAACUUGAUAUUUACCUAAAAGAUGAUGUUUGCCCGCAAGAAGAUGGGUUCGACAUACUAUGUUGGUAG